rnacentral:rRNA from 1 species
UUCCGGUUGAUCCUGCCGGAGGUUACUGCUAUCGAGGUUCGACUAAGCCAUGCGAGUCGAAUGUCCGUAAGGACAUGGCGAACUGCUCAGUAACACGUGGACAACCUGCCCUUUGGACAGGGAUACCCCUGGGAAACUGGGACUAAUCCCUGAUAAGUCUCCGUAGCUGGAAUGCUCGGAGACGGAAAGCUCCGGCGCCACAGGAUGGGUCUGCGGCCUAUCAGGGUAGUAGUGGGUGUAGAGUACCUACUAGCCUACGACGGGUACGGGUUGUGAGAGCAAGAGCCCGGAGAUGGAUUCUGAGACACGAAUCCAGGCCCUACGGGGUGCAGCAGGCGCGAAAACUUUACAAUGCGGGACACCGCGAUAAGGGGACCUCGAGUGCUGGCAUACAAUGCUGGCUGUCCAGCUGCCUAAAUAGCAGUUGAUAGCAAGGGCCGGGCAAGACCGGUGCCAGCCGCCGCGGUAACACCGGCGGCUCGAGUGGUAACCGCUAUUAUUGGGU